rnacentral:lncRNA from 1 species
AUGUCCGUGUUCAGGAGGAGUUCAGGCUUCACUUUAAGAACAUCUCUCGGGUCAUGGACUGCGUCGGCUGCAGUAAGUGCCGGCUCUGGGGAACCUUACAGACUCAGGGUCUGGGAACGGCUCUCAGGAUCCUGUUCUCUGAGAAAGAGAUCGAGAAGCUUCCAGAAAACAGUCCGUCCAAAGGCUUCCAGCUCACGCGGCAGGAGAUCGUGGCUCUGCUCAACGGAUUCGCCAGGUAACGGAGUUCUACAAAAAAUCAAAGUAUCAAAAAGUUAUAGAAGUUUAAAUGUAUUGUAAAGAAAAUACACUGUACUGAUUUUAUUUUGUAUAUAAUAAAUAUUUUACAUAACAGGUUUUACUGUAAAAUUGCUAUAAAAUUUAAGCCUUUGUUUAAAUAAGUUAUGUUUCGGAUUUGAAGUUGAUAUGAUUAAAAAACGGAGGUUUCUGUGAGAUUUUUUUUUAUAGUGUUAUACCACAAUCAGCCACCGGGUGACACCCAAACUCCAUUGAUUUUUUUAAAAUGCAUUUUUCUGUAACAUAUGUUGAAACUUCUGUCAUUAUGGCUUUUAUCACAAAAUAACCACUAAAUAUGGAGUCCUGAGACUCAGAGCUUUCCAAUGAUAUUUGUUUUUGUCAAGACUAUAAGAAGUUUUGAUUGUAAAGACCGUAAUGCAUGACACUUGACUCCGCCCACUGAGGGGGAGGAGACCGCCAACAUAUUUUAAAGUACCAUUUCCAUGGUAACGCAAUGUUCAAUUUCAUUUUAUUUUUUUUAAGUGAAAUAUGACCUGUAUAUAUUCUUGACUGGUUGACUGACUAUGAAUUUAAUUUAAGUUUAUUAUUAUUUUUUAUUUUAUUUUGGUGUGUGUGCGUCUUUUAAAGACAUUCCUCAUUUACAACGAUGACUUUUAUUUAUAGAACCAUAGAAAUAAUUUUUUUUAAGCUUCAAACAAGGAAAUGUAGCUGACUGUUACACAUUUAAGCAACAGAUUGCAAGCAAUAAUAUUCCUCCAUUUAGUCCAGAUUCAUGUUUAACGACAGAUUUAAUGUAAAGGGGAGACUUUCAGAGCAAAAAUAAUACUGAAAUAAAUAAUGCACUUUUAAAUUUUUUGCAGUGAAAUAUCACACUGAUUUUGUUUUAGAUGGUUAUAUUUAUAGCUUCUCUGACUGAAAAUAUCUCUGGAUUGAUCUCAUCGGCUCUGUUUCUAUGAAUAACUCUGGAUGCGUCACGUCAGCGCGUCUGAUCAGUGUUAUAUAUAUAUCUGAGAGUUUUCAGAAUCACAGCCCACGAGUGAUUCGAACCCAAGCUCAGUUUGAGAUCCACUGGAAUCAUUUUUCUGCCUUUUUCAUGAUCUACUAAUUCUGGAGGAAUAGUUUAGUUGGAGUGGAGAUGAAGAGCAGCUCUGUGUGAGUGUGUGUGAGAGAGAGUGUGUGUGUGAGUGUGUGUGUGAGUGUGUGUGUGUGUGUGAGUGUGAGUGUGUGUGUGUUGUGUGUGUGAGAGGGUGUGUGUGUGUGAGUGUGUGUGUGUGAGUGUGUGUGUGUGUGUGUGUGUGUGUGUGUGUGUGUGAGAGUGUACACGUCCCUUUCUAUCUGCGAGCCCACAUCAGAAACCUCAGAAAAAGUAUCAUCAUCUUUCAUUUCUGUCUCACAGUUUUCUUGACUCUUUAAUAGAUCAACACUUUCCAUUUUAGUAUCUCCAUGUUCACUCACAUCGUUUUUCGUUACACUGUUUUCACCUGCUUCUGGUUCAGCACCAGCUUCCUCAGUAUGACUGUCAUUAAUUACGCUUUCUGCCUGUUUUCCACUGUGAUCCUCCCGCUCCUCCACAGCUGAAGGCAGCGCGCUCUCUGUCGCGUUCUCCCCAACGCCCGCGGCGCUCGGCCCGGCGUUCUCCCCAACGCCCGCGGCACUCGGCCCGGUGUUCUGAAAUAUUCGGUGUCUGAGAUUUUCGGUGACGCUGGGCGGAGCUUACAUGAAUAUUCAUGAGUUUCCUGUUUCGCGUUAAAGCGUCUCUGAAAAUAUUAGUACGUUGUCACUGAAACAUAAACGAUUUUCAAAAAGGUAUGUUUUAGCGUAGAAUGACAUUAUGCUUAGUGUAUUGUUGUUUUUAUUACUAUUGUUAAUAUGCAAAAUAAUUUAAAGAUUGUGAUUGUCGUAAUGAUUUACCUGAGGUAGGCUAUGCUCCAAAUGAGCCUACAACAAUUAAGCAUUUUUAUAAUAUUAAGAGUCCUUAAAAUGUGUCGUUUAAUAACUGUUCCAAAAUGUAUCUGUUGUGCCAUAAUAAAAUGUA